UACGUAGGGGGCAAGCGUUGUCCGGAAUCAUUGGGCGUAAAGAGCUCGUAGGCGGCUUAGCAAGUCGGGUGUGAAAACUCCAGGCUCAACCUGGAGACGCCACUCGAGACUGCUAUGGCUAGAGUCCGGUAGGGGACCACGGAAUUCCUGGUGUAGCGGUGAAAUGCGCAGAUAUCAGGAGGAACACCGGUGGCGAAGGCGGGUCUCUGGGCAAUAACUGACGCUGAGGAGCGAAAGCGUGGGGAGCGAACAGG
rnacentral:rRNA from 1 species